GCGGUGCUGGCCGCAGCAGAA
rnacentral:siRNA from 1 species